GCGGGAGCGGCCCGAGAGCGGCUCCGCUCGGCUCCCGGGCGGCUGCGGCGGAGCCGGGGCCGGUCACCAUGUGGGCCGGGCUGGGACCGGGGCUGCUGGCCUUGGCCUUGGCCCUGUGGCCGGCAGGGCUCUGGGCACAGAUGAGGCUGGAGGAGGCUGGAGGAGGGCUGCGAGUGGCCGGGGAUUCCGUGACCCUCUCCUGCCGUGGAUCUGGAUUCAGCUUUGAUUAUUAUGAUGUUUGGUGGUACCGUCAGUCACYCGGAGGCACCUUCGAGUGGGUGUCUUUUAUCAUCCCUGAUUCCUCUGUCAAUAAAAGCGGGCCAGCAAUCGACGGUCGAGCCUUGGUGUCCAGAGACAAUUCCGAGUCCGAGUCAUCCCUGUCCCUGUGGGCCCUGAAGCCCCAGGACUCUGCACGGUACUUCUGUGCCACUUCACACAGUAACAGGAAAUCCAGCUGUGCUUUAACAAAAACCUGA